rnacentral:rRNA from 1 species
UACGUAGGGGGCAAGCGUUAUCCGGAUUUACUGGGUGUAAAGGGAGCGUAGACGGUUACGCAAGUCUGGAGUGAAAGGCGGGGGCCCAACCCCCGGACUGCUUUGGAAACUGUAUAACUGGAGUGCAGGAGAGGUAAGUGGAAUUCCUAGUGUAGCGGUGAAAUGCGUAGAUAUUAGGAGGAACACCAGUGGCGAAGGCGGCUUACUGGACUGUAACUGACGUUGAGGCUCGAAAGCGUGGGGAGCAAACAGG